AGUGAACGCUGGCGGUAGGCCUAACACAUGCAAGUCGAACGGCAGCACAGUAAGAGCUUGCUCUUACGGGUGGCGAGUGGCGGACGGGUGAGGAAUACAUCGGAAUCUACUUUUUCGUGGGGGAUAACGUAGGGAAACUUACGCUAAUACCGCAUACGACCUACGGGUGAAAGCAGGGGAUCUUCGGACCUUGCGCGAUUGAAUGAGCCGAUGUCGGAUUAGCUAGUUGGCGGGGUAAAGGCCCACCAAGGCGACGAUCCGUAACUGGUCUGAGAGGAUGAUCAGCCACACUGGAACUGAGACACGGUCCAGACUCCUACGGGAGGCAGCAGUGGGGAAUAUUGGACAAUGGGCGCAAGCCUGAUCCAGCCACACCGCGUGGGUGAAGAAGGCCUUCGGGUUGUAAAGCCCUUUUGUUGGGAAAGAAAAGCAGCAGGUUAAUACCCCGCUGUUCUGACGGUACCCAAAGAAUAAGCACCGGCUAACUUCGUG
rnacentral:rRNA from 1 species